CCUACGGGAGGCUGCAGUGGGGGAUAUUGCACAAUGGGCGGAACCCUGAUGCAGCGACGCCGCGUGGGUGAAGAAGCGCCUCGGCGCGUAAAGUCCUGUCAGCAGGGAAGAAAAUGACGGUACCUGUAGAAGAAGCCCCGGCUAACUCCGUGCCAGCAGCCGCGGUAAUACGUAGGGGGCAAGCGUUAUCCGGAUUUACUGGGUGUAAAGGGGGCGCAGGCGGCGUUGCAAGCCAGGAGGGAAAGCCCGGGGCCCAACCCGGGGACUGUACUUGGUACUGGGUGGCUGGAGUGCAGGAGGGGCAGGCGGAAGUCCUGGUGUAGCGGUGAAAUGCGUAGAGAUCAGGAGGAACACCGGUGGCGAAGGCGGCCUGCUGGACUGCAACUGACGUUGAGGCGCGAAAGCGUGGGGAGCAAACAGGAUUAGAUACCCCAGUAGUC
rnacentral:rRNA from 1 species